rnacentral:lncRNA from 1 species
GGGAUGCAGGCUUCCUGGAGUCGGGCCCUUGCUCUGCUGGGCCGCCAGGAGAAUGUGACACUGUGACAGUUGCAAUUGACCUAUCGUGAACUGUCCAGCUUUGUUUACAAAAAUACCAAGGAUCAGAGUUCACCUCUCCCUGAGGAAACUCCUGUUCAGGGAAAAACAAGAAAACCAAUCUAGGAGUGUCUAAUGGCUUCGUUUUAUUGCUCACUUCUUUCUCCUAUACUUAUUUUUAAUAGUUUCUUUGGAAAAUGAAUGUUGAUUAGAUUUAGGGCACCAUGAGAUAUUUUCCAUGGUCCGGAGCAACCACGGGGUUCCAUUUGGGGUACAUUUUCCUUUUGUUCAGCCAGUGGUUACUGCAGACUCCGUUUUGCCUCCACGUCUGAACACUUCCCUCCUCCGAAGUUCACCACGGGCGUCACGAAGGAUCCAUCCACAGUCACUUUCUGACAGAUCAGCACUGGCUUGAUCCCAGAGGAUGGGAGACCCAGCAAGACGGGGCUGGCAGGGGCCCACCCUGGCUGGCCUGAAGCCCUUGACCGCGUCAACACAAUCCGAAAGACCUGGGCAGCUGAAAGCAGAGCUGCCUCUGACAACAGCUCUGAGAGGCACUGAUGGGACCCUGGACUGUGGAUGCAGCAGGACACGGGUUCUCUUCGGCCUCGGGGGACCUGCGUGGUGUGUUGGGGACCCGCCCAGACUCAGUGCCCAGACUCCUCAAGGCCUGCCUACCUGGAGGGGGGAGGAAGGCAAGGAGGUGGUUAUUCCAUGGAGAGGAAAAUCAACUAUUGUGAGAUCAAGGCAGCUGCUUGUCCCUUGGCUUCACUCACUGGCCAAACUAGCUAAAUUCCUUUCACACAGGGAAAUGCAGGCUGGGAUCACAUAACUCCCGUGAAGCGGAAACUGGAUGAAUUCAUGCCCUAAGAAGAAUGGAUGCUAAGACCUCCUGAUCAAAGACACCUACAGCAAAAGGCCUGAAGGAGAAGCCUCGGGAUCCCGAUUCCAGUCUUGGUUGCUACUGGCUUGUGUGGGAGCUCCUGUAAUAAGCUCCCUUCCUGGAGCCUGGGUGCACGCCCAGAGGAGCUGCCUUCCUGUGUUGGACAGUUAAGGAAGGCCCUCGUGACCAGGUGAGAGCUGAACAGAGAGCUAAAGGAGACAGGAAAGGGAGCCACACAGGGGAACGGGCUUCUCCGAGGUGAGGGAUGUGUGACUUCUGGGCCAGGGAUAUGGAUGGCUUCCUGGAGGAACAGCAGCAAGGCCAAGGUGUCGGGCAGGGUGGGCAGAAGUAGAACUGGCCAGAGAGUGCGUGCUUAUGACCGUUGGAGUGACAGGACCUGAGGGACAUGUCACAGUGCUCACUCCUGCUGCAGCGUGGAGUGUGGGAUGAGGGCAGAGACCAGACAGGAGGCUUCUGCUGUCAUCCAUAGGUGGUCCAGGGAGGGGGCUAGGGGAGAAUGUGCCCACCGUUGCCUCCAGUAUGAGCAGGAAGCGACAGGUGCCUCAAAAGAAGUGUAGGAGGCUGAUGCUGGCCAGAAAGAUUGAGCUGGGCCUCCUCAAGUGGAGACAGCACACAGAGGGCUGGCAGGUUGAAAGUGGAAUUGGCAUGAACAAAGGCAUCCGUGAGAAAAGCAAAGCCGUGGGCUGGAAAGAGCGCUGGGAAGUGAUUGGGAGAGUGGAGGCUGGCUGCCUAGCCUCAGGGUCUUCCGCAUAAGACGGAGACGGAGACGGAGAUGGAACCCUCAUUUACUCACUGGGCCAUCGCAAGGCAGGUUCUUGGAGGGCGGGGGGUUUCUGAGGCCCGUUGUGGAGGAAGCGCUCCCUCCUGUGACUACAAGGCCAGAAAAUGGGAGGAGGCUGAAACGUUGGCAUGGACGCGCAGAAACAUGGCCCCUCGGGGAGGGCCCCUCAGGAAGAGCCCGGGAUGCCAGGCUCCAGGCCCAGUGCAAGGACAGCUGCCCAGAGCGUCCCAGAGUCACAGGAUCCCAAGUCACCAGGGCACCAGCAUGGGGCCCUGCGAGCUGGACUGCAGUAGGGGUCCCGGGGUCCCAGCUCAUGCUAUGCCGGUGCUGCUUAAGAAUUUUUUUUUUUUUUUUAGUUAGUUGGUUGGGCUGGGCAUCAUCUGGGUCAUGGGUGGACCCUCUGUAAAAGCAACCAUCUGCCCAGGGCAGCGUCAGCAGUGGCGAGGCACAGGGCACGGAGUGUGGGUACAGAAGGAAGCAGGUGGCCUGUGGUUGCAGGGGUGCGCUCUGGGCAGUUUAGAGAAGCCAGCCUUGUUCCCAGGUGAAGCCGGCCAGGCCCGGGCCUGGGCUCAGGUUCUUGUCCCAGCUCCAUUGCACCUAAGUUGCUUGCUGUCCCUAAAUAAUUCUUGCCUCCUCUCUGAGCCACAGCUUCCUUUUCUGUUUAGGAAAAAAAAAUGCCAGGAGGGCUGAGCUGGACAAACUCUGAAGUCCCUUCCAGCUCCAAGUUUCUCUGUUUAUCAGACAGCCUAAUCUCUGCAAGAGCACUUGUGACGGCUGCGCCUGGAGACAGUCUUGGCGGACUCUGGGGUUACACAGAGGGCACUGAACACCCCUGCCAUCAAGAUAAGACAGGAGCACCUCUCCUGGGGCCCGGCCUUUCUCCCUGUGGUUCAUAGGCAGCUGGGGGGCCCGCUCAGAUCUGAGAGCCCCUCCGGGACUGUCAGAUUUAACCCUUACCGGGCUGCAGCAUUCGGCGGGCGCAGGUGGCGGCGGUAGGUGGGGCUUGUCCCACAUCCCAGGCACUGGGUGCUCGCUUGGCCCUUUGUCAGCUCAAACAAGUGAAUUGGGUUUCGAUCCCUCUGAUGGGAAGCCUCGUGAUGUCAUGGUGUGAAAAGCAAAGAAAAUAAAUGCCUUUGAUUUUGGAUAAAUCA